UAGGGAAUCUUCGGCAAUGGGGGCAACCCUGACCGAGCAACGCCGCGUGAGUGAAGAAGGUUUUCGGAUCGUAAAGCUCUGUUGUAAGUCAAGAACGGGUGUGAGAGUGGAAAGUUCACACUGUGACGGUAGCUUACCAGAAAGGGACGGCUAACUACGUGCCAGCAGCCGCGGUAAUACGUAGGUCCCGAGCGUUGUCCGGAUUUAUUGGGCGUAAAGCGAGCGCAGGCGGUUUGAUAAGUCUGAAGUUAAAGGCUGUGGCUCAACCGUAGUUCGCUUUGGAAACUGUCAAACUUGAGUGCAGAAGGGGAGAGUGGAAUUCCAUGUGUAGCGGUGAAAUGCGUAGAUAUAUGGAGGAACACCGGUGGCGAAAGCGGCUCUCUGGUCUGUAACUGACGCUGAGGCUCGAAAGCGUGGGGAGCGAACAGGAUUAGAUACCCUGGUAGUCCACGCCGUAAACGAUGAGUGCUAGGUGUUGGAUCCUUUCCGGAAUUCAGUGCCGAAGCUAACGCAUUAAGCACUCCGCCUGGGGAGUACGACCGCAAGGUUGAAAC
rnacentral:rRNA from 1 species